GAUGAACGCUGGCGGCGUGCCUAAUACAUGCAAGUCGAGCGAAUGGAUUAAGAGCUUGCUCUUAUGAAGUUAGCGGCGGACGGGUGAGUAACACGUGGGUAACCUGCCCAUAAGACUGGGAUAACUCCGGGAAACCGGGGCUAAUACCGGAUCACAUUUUGAACCGCAUGGUUCGAAAUUGAAAGGCGGCUUCGGCUGUCACUUAUGGAUGGACCCGCGUCGCAUUAGCUAGUUGGUGAGGUAACGGCUCACCAAGGCAACGAUGCGUAGCCGACCUGAGAGGGUGAUCGGCCACACCGGGACUGAGACACGGCCCAGACUCCUACGGGAGGCAGCAGUAGGGAAUCUUCCGCAAUGGACGAAAGUCUGACGGAGCAACGCCGCGUGAGUGAUGAAGGCUUUCGGGUCGUAAAACUCUGUUGUUAGGGAAGAACAAGUGCUAGUUGAAUAAGCUGGCACCUUGACGGCACCUAACCAGAAAGCCACGGCUAACUACGUGCCAGCCGCCGCCGUAA
rnacentral:rRNA from 1 species